UAUGGCACGUCAUUUUAUAAA
ensembl:piRNA 21ur-3248 ncRNA